ensembl:lncRNA
CCCACCUCGGAGGUCCAGGUUAUUACUCCCCACGGACCAUUCACUCUGCGGGUCGGGGUUGUAGAGCAACUGCCGGUGCCAGUGCUUUUCGGCCGAGACAGCCCGCUCUUCUCCCACUACUGGCCGGAGAAAUUGAGGAACCGGAAUAGGCGAAUCCGAAGACGCCCUGUUGGGACGAAGGCCUCCGCCACCCACCAGGCUUGUGCCGCCGUGUCACCCGAUGGCAGCCCGGCGGACACCAGCGAUGACGAAGUGAACAGGCCCCUCCAUAGGCAAAGUACAGAAACGGAUCCUGGACGUGCAGCUGGGGAGCAGGAGCCCCUGGAAGAGACAGUCGGAUGAGGUAUUCUCAGAGUUCCCCCAAGUCGAGGUGGAUGAAACUCUCAGGCCUGGACGAUUCGGGUCAGCCCAGCUGCAGGAUCCCAACCUGACCCAAGCCUGGAGGGAUGUCCGAGCGAUUGAGGGCCAAAACCAGGAUGGGGUGAGUCAAGUGUCUUUUCCCCAUUUCAUGGUUAAAAAUAAGCUGCUGUACCGAGUAACACGAAAAGACUCUGAAAUCUGUGAACAGUUGCUUGUCCCCAGGGAAUAUGUCACAAAAGUGUUGUACCUAGCACACUCCCACUUACUAGGGGAGCAUUUAGGGAGAGAAAAGACCUAUGACCGUGUCCUCAGCCGCUUCUACUGGCCGGGGUCAAGAGAGCCGUGGAGGAAUACUGUCGACACUGUGGAGAGUGUCAAAUCAACUCCCCUAAGGUAGCGUACCGAAAUCCCUUAAUACCCCUUCCAAUCAUUGAAACCACCUUUAGUAGGAUUGGCAUGGACAUUGUCGGACCCUCCCGAAGUCUAGCAGCGGCCACCGCUAUAUCUUAGUCAUUCUGGAUUAUGCCAUGCGGUAUCCAGAGGCAAUUCCCCUACGCUCGGCAACAGGAAGGGCGGUGGCCCGGGAAAUGUUCCUGCUCUUCAGUAGAGUGGGCUUGCCUGAGGAGAUCCUUACAGACCAGGGAUCCUGCUUUAUGUCUGGGGUGAUGAAGACUGUGCCAAAGUCUGAAGUUCCCCAGGGUUCCACUGGAUUUUCACCAUUCGAACUAUUGUACGGACGGAGACCCCGGGGCAUGCUGGAUGUGGCCAAGGAAGCCUGGGAGCAGCAGCCAUCCCCCCAGCGCAGUGUCGUGGAGCACGUGGAGCAGAUGCACCACCGAAUGACCCAGGUGUGGCCCUUGGUUCGUGAACACAUGCAGCAAGCCCAGGCACAACAGGCACGGGUGUACAAUCGAGGAGCCCAGGUGAGAGAGUUCGAACCAGGACACAAAGUGAUGGUCUUGGUCCCCACGAAUGCCUGCAAGUUUUUAGCCAAAUGGCAAGGACCUUAUGAGAUAAUGGAACGAAUGGGACCAGUGAACUACAGGAUACGACAGGUUGGCCGAAGGAAAGGCAAGCAAAUUUAUCACGUAAACUUACUGAAGCCAUGGCAUGAACCUCCCCCCUGUCCCCUCCAAUGUCUUCAGUGCCAACCUGUCUCCCCAGAGUCUACCGCCAGUGAAAAUGGGCGAUCAGCUGUCGUCCAGACAGGUACAGGCCCUCGGAGAACUGCUCGCCAGGAGCAAAGAUGUCUUCUCUGAGACCCCAGGGAGGACAACAGUCAUCGCCCAUGACAUUGAAACCGAGCCGGGAAAGACGGUAAGACUUCGACCGUAUCGAAUCCCGGAGGCCAGACGAGAAGCCAUCAGAGAGGAGGUGAGGAAAAUGCUUGACCUUGGGGUCGUGGAAGAGUCCCACAGUGCCUGGUCCAGUCCUAUAGUCCUUGUUGGGAAGCCCGAUGGUAGCAUUAGGUUCUGCAAUGACUAUAGAAAACUGAAUGAGAUCUCUCUAUUCAACACUUAUCCUAUGCCCCGUGUGGAUGAG